rnacentral:rRNA from 1 species
UGGGGAAUAUUGCACAAUGGGCGCAAGCCUGAUGCAGCCAUGCCGCGUGUGUGAAGAAGGCCUUCGGGUUGUAAAGCACUUUCAGCGAGGAGGAAGGUGGUGAGCUUAAUACGCUCAUCAAUUGACGUUACUCGCAGAAGAAGCACCGGCUAACUCCGUGCCAGCAGCCGCGGUAAUACGGAGGGUGCAAGCGUUAAUCGGAAUUACUGGGCGUAAAGCGCACGCAGGCGGUUUGUUAAGUCAGAUGUGAAAUCCCCCGGGCUCAACCUGGGAACUGCAUUUGAAACUGGCAAGCUAGAGUCUCGUAGAGGGGGGUAGAAUUCCAGGUGUAGCGGUGAAAUGCGUAGAGAUCUGGAGGAAUACCGGUGGCGAAGGCGGCCCCCUGGACGAAGACUGACGCUCAGGUGCGAAAGCGUGGGGCAGCAAACAGGAUUAGAUACCCUGGUAGUCCAGCGCUGUAAACGAUGUCGAUUUUGGAGGUUGUGCCCCUUGAGGCGUGGCUUCCGGAGCUAACGCGUUAAAUCGACCG